rnacentral:rRNA from 1 species
GGACGGGUGAGUAAUGCAUAGGAAUCUACCUUUUAGUCUAGGAUAACUACCCGAAAGGGUAGCUAAUACUGGAUGUGGACUACGGUUUAAAGCAGGGGAUCUUCGGACCUUGCGCUAAGAGAUGAGCCUAUGUGGGAUUAGCUAGUUGGUGAGGUAAUGGCUCACCAAGGCGACGAUCUCUAGCUGGUUUGAGAGGAUAA